rnacentral:rRNA from 1 species
AGAGUUUGAUCAUGGCUCAGGACAAACGCUGGCGGCGUGCCUAACACAUGCAAGUCGAACGGAAGUUAGAGCUUCGGUUUUAACUUUAGUGGCGAACGGGUGAGUAACGCGUGAGGAACCUGCCUUUCAGGUGGGGGACAACAGUUGGAAACGACUGCUAAUACCGCAUGACUACGUUUUGGGAGACAUCUCCUGGAAGUCAAAGUCUUUAUGUGCU